rnacentral:rRNA from 1 species
CUCGGCGUACCGCUCAGUAACACGUGGGUAACCUGCCCUAUGCUGGGGAAUAACCUCGGGAAACUGAGAAUAAUGCCCCAUAGCCCACUACGCCUGGAACGGUGAGUGGGUCAAAGCCCCGGCGGCAUAGGAUGGGCCUGCGCCGUAUCAGGUUGUAGGGGGUGUAAAGUACCCUCUAGCCAUCAACGCGUACGGGUGUUGGGAGACAUUGCCCGGAGAUGGAUUCUGAGACACGAAUCCAGACCCUACGGGGUGCAGCAGGCGCGAAAACUUGGCAAUGCGAGAAAUCGUGACCAGGGAACUCCAAGUGCGUAGGGUAAGACCUACGCUUUUCUUGACUCUUCAAAGGUCUUGGAAUAAGGGGUGGGUAAGGACGGUGCCAGCCGCCGCGGUAAUACCGGCGCCUCAAGUGGUAGUCGCUUUUAUUGGGCCUAAAACGUCCGUAGCCGGUCUGGUGCAUUCGUGGGUAAAUCAACCCGCUCAACGGGUUGAAUUCUGCGAGCACGGCCAGACUUGGGACCGGGAGAGGUGUGGGGUACUCUCAGGGUAGGGGUAAAAUCCUGUCAUCCUGAGAGGACCACCUGUUGCGAAGGCGCCACACUAGAACGGAUCCGACGGUCAGGGACGAAACCUAGGGGCACGAACCGGAUUAGAUACCCGGGUAGUCCUAGGUGUAAACGCUGUGGACUUGAUGUUGGGGGCGCUCCGAGCGCUCUCAGUGUCGAAGCGAAGGUGAUAAGUCCACUGCUGGGGAGUACGGUCGCAAGGCUGAAACUUAAAGGAAUUGGCGGGGGAGCACUGCAACCUGAGGAUGUGCGGUUUAAUU